UGAUGGCCCGGAACGAUGGCCACCGGACGAGGGCGCAGUACCCGGAACGCGACAAGACUGACCACC
rnacentral:ncRNA from 1 species